UACGUAGGGUGCGAGCGUUAAUCGGAAUUACUGGGCGUAAAGCGUGCGCAGGCGGUUCGUUAAGUUCGAUGUGAAAGCCCCGGGCUCAACCUGGGAACUGCAUUGGAAACUGGCGAGCUUGAAUGCGGCAGAGGGGGGUGGAAUUCCGCGUGUAGCAGUGAAAUGCGUAGAGAUGCGGAGGAACACCGAUGGCGAAGGCGGCUUCCUGGACCGAUACUGACGCUGAGGCGCGAAAGCUAGGGGAGCAAACGGG
rnacentral:rRNA from 1 species